rnacentral:rRNA from 1 species
GACGAACGCUGGCGGCGUGCCUAAUACAUGCAAGUCGAACGCUUCUUUCCUCCCGAGUGCUUGCACUCAAUUGGAAAGAGGAGUGGCGGACGGGUGAGUAACACGUGUGUAACCUACCCAUCAGAGGGGGAUAACACUUGGAAACAGGUUCUAAUACCGCAUAACAGUUUAUGCCGCAUGGCAUAAGAGUGAAAGGCGCUUUCGGGUGUCGCUGAUGGAUGGACCCGCGGUGCAUUAGCUAGUUGGUGAGGUAACGGCUCACCAAGGCCACGAUGCAUAGCCGACCUGAGAGGGUGAUAGGCCACACUGGGACUGAGACACGGCCCAGACUCCUACGGGAGGCAGCAGUAGGGAAUCUUCGGCAAUGGACGAAAGUCUGACCGAGCAACGCCGCGUGAGUGAAGAAGGUUUUCGGAUCGUAAAACUCUGUUGUUAGAGAAGAACAAGGACGUUAGUAACUGAACGUCCCCUGACGGUAUCUAACCAGAAAGCCACGGCUAACUACGUG